UGACCUCGUGAUUCACCCGCCUUGGCCUCCCAAAGUGCUGGGAUUACAGGUGUGAGCCACCUCGCCUGGCCUCUAAGUUUUUCUUGUUGGUAAACAUCUGAGCAAGCAAAAAUUUAAGUUUUGACAGGAAAAAAAAAAGACAAUCAAAUGCAAUAUUUGGACCUUGUUUUGAUCCUGAUUCUACUAUCGUAUAAAGACAUUUUUGAGACAAGGAAAACUGAACACGGUCUGGGUGUUAGAUGAUACUAAGAAAUUAAUUUGAUGGUAUUCAUAAUGGCGCAUUUAUGACUGAGUUGAUGUCUGGAAUUUGCUUUAACAUACUCCAGCAAAAAAAUAUAAAAAUAAGAAAAGUAUAAGGCCAUGCGCAGUGGCUCAUGCCUGUAAUCCCAGCACUCUGGGAGGCCGAGGCGAGUGGAUCACUUGAGAUCAGAAGUUUGCUACCAGCCUGGCCAACAUGGUGAAACCCCGCCUCUACUAAAAAUACAAAAAUUAGCCGGGUGUGGUAGUACACACCUGUAAUCCCAGCUACUAGGGAAGCUGAGGCAGGAGAAUCCCUUGAGUCCAGGAGGUGGAGGUUGCAGUGAGCCGAGGUCACACUACUGCAAUCCAGCCUGGGCGACAGAGCGAGACUCCGUCUCAAAAAAAAAAAAAAAAAAAAGAAGAAGGUACUUUGUAACAUUCUCCCCGCCCUUGAGAAUGUACUUUAUAAGCCUAUCCCAAACCUGUAAGAACUAAUGAUAAUCCCACCACCCUUUGCUGACUCCUUUUUCGGACUCAGCCCGCCUGCACCCAGGUGAAAUAAACAGCCUUGUUGCU
rnacentral:lncRNA from 1 species